rnacentral:rRNA from 1 species
UUCUUUAAGAAAAUAACUUAAAGUAAGGCCUGCUCAAUGAAUCAUAAAUAGCCGCAGUUUUACUGUGCUAAGGUAGCAUAAUAACUUGCUUCUUAAUUAGAAGAUAGAAUGAAGGGUUGAACACUAAAAAUAUGUUUCUACUAAAAAAAUUAACUUAAGAAUCAAGUAAAAACUCUUCUAUAAAAAGGCGGGACGACAAGACCCUGAUAAACUUAUCAUUUAGUUGGGGAAACAACAUAAAAACUCUUUAUCAAAUAUUAAACACACAAAUCAAAUAUUGAAUAUUGUCUAGUUACUACAGGGAUAACAGCGUUAUUUCCUUCAAGAGACCUUAUCUAAAGGGAAGAUUACGACCUCGAUGUUGAAUUAAUCUUCCUAUAAAAUGCAACAGUUUAUUAAGGUAGUCUGUUCGACUAUUAAAAGAUU